AGAUUGAACGCUGGCGGCAUGCCUUACACAUGCAAGUCGAACGGUAGAGUAGCAAUACUCGAGAGUGGCGAACGGGUGAGUAAUAUAUCGGAACGUGCCCAGUCGUGGGGGAUAACGUAGAGAAAUUUACGCUAAUACCGCAUACGAUCUAAGGAUGAAGGCGGGGGAUCGCAAGACCUCGCGCGAUUGGAGCGGCUGAUAUCAGAUUAGGUUGUUGGUGAGUAAAAGCUCACCAAGCCGACGAUCUGUAGCUGGUUUGAGAGAACGACAGCCACACUGGGACUGAGACACGGCCCAGACUCCUACGGGAGCAGCAGUGGGAAUUUGGACAAUGGGCGAAAGCCGUGACUCCAGCAAUGCCGCGUGCAGGAAGAAGGCCCGUUGGUACGUAAACUGUCGUUUUAGUAACGGUAAACGAAAAGGUCUACUUUUACGAAAUUAAAGAGGGACCCAAUGGAACGGUACCGUAAAGGAAUUAAAGCAACCGGACUAACUACGUACGACCAGCA
rnacentral:rRNA from 1 species